rnacentral:rRNA from 1 species
CGAUGGCGACCGGCGCACGGGUGAGUAACACGUAUCCAACCUGCCGUCUACUCUUGGACAGCCUUCUGAAAGGAAGAUUAAUACAAGAAGGCAUCAUGAGUCCGCAUGUUCACAUGAUUAAAGGUAUUCCGGUAGACGAUGGGGAUGCGUUCCAUUAGGUAGUAGGCGGGGUAACGGCCCACCUAGCCAACGAUGGAUAGGGGUUCUGAGAGGAAGGUCCCCCACAUUGGAACUGAGACACGGUCCAAACUCCUACGGGAGGCAGCAGUGAGGAAUAUUGGUCAAUGGACGAGAGUCUGAACCAGCCAAGUAGCGUGAAGGAUGAGGGUCCUACGGAUUGUAAACUUCUUUUAUAAGGGAAUAAACCCUCCCACGUGUGGGAGCUUGUAUGUACCUUAUGAAUAAGCAUCGGCUAACUCCGUGCCAGCAGCCGCGGUAAUACGGAGGAUGCGAGCGUUAUCCGGAUUUAUUGGGUUUAAAGGGAGCGUAGAUGGAUGUUUAAGUCAGUUGUGAAAGUUUGCGGCUCAACCGUAAAAUUGCAGUUGAUACUGGAUAUCUUGAGUGCAGUUGAGGCAGGCGGAAUUCGUGGUGUAGCGGUGAAAUGCUUAGAUAUCACGAAGAACUCCGAUUGCGAAGGC